rnacentral:rRNA from 1 species
CGCUUAGGCGUGUGACUGCGUACCUUUUGUAUAAUGGGUCAGCGACUUAUAUUCUGUAGCAAGGUUAACCGAAUAGGGGAGCCGAAGGGAAACCGAGUCUUAACUGGGCGUUAAGUUGCAGGGUAUAGACCCGAAACCCGGUGAUCUAGCCAUGGGCAGGUUGAAGGUUGGGUAACACUAACUGGAGGACCGAACCGACUAAUGUUGAAAAAUUAGCGGAUGACUUGUGGCUGGGGGUGAAAGGCCAAUCAAACCGGGAGAUAGCUGGUUCUCCCCGAAAGCUAUUUAGGUAGCGCCUCGUGAAUUCAUCUCCGGGGGUAGAGCACUGUUUCGGCAAGGGGGUCAUCCCGACUUACCAACCCGAUGCAAACUGCGAAUACCGGAGAAUGUUAUCACGGGAGACACACGGCGGGUGCUAACGUCCGUCGUGAAGAGGGAAACAACCCAGACCGCCAGCUAAGGUCCCAAAGUCAUGGUUAAGUGGGAAACGAUGUGGGAAGGCCCAGACAGCCAGGAUGUUGGCUUAGAAGCAGCCAUCAUUUAAAGAAAGCGUAAUAGCUCACUGGUCGAGUCGGCCUGCGCGGAAGAUGUAACGGGGCUAAACCAUGCACCGAAGCUGCGGCAGCGACGCU